rnacentral:rRNA from 1 species
CAGUCGAACGAAGCACAGAAAGCAGAUUACUUCGGUUUGAAGCUUUCUGUGACUGAGUGGCGGACGGGUGAGUAACGCGUGGAUAACCUGCCUCACACAGGGGGAUAACAGUUAGAAAUGACUGCUAAUACCGCAUAAGCGCACAGUCUCGCAUGGGACAGUGUGAAAAACUGAGGUGGUGUGAGAUGGAUCCGCGUCUGAUUAGGCAGUUGGCGGGGUAACGGCCCACCAAACCAACGAUCAGUAGCCGGCCUGAGAGGGUGAACGGCCACAUUGGGACUGAGACACGGCCCAAACUCCUACGGGAGGCAGCAGUGGGGAAUAUUGCACAAUGGGGGAAACCCUGAUGCAGCGACGCCGCGUGAAGGAAGAAGUAUUUCGGUAUGUAAACUUCUAUCAGCAGGGAAGAAAGUGACGGUACCUGACUAAGAAGCCCCGGCUAACUACGUGCCAGCAGCCGCGGUAAUACGUAGGGGGCAAGCGUUAUCCGGAUUUACUGGGUGUAAAGGGAGCGUAGGCGGCGAUGCAAGUCAGAAGUGAAAGCCCGGGGCUCAACUCCGGGACUGCUUUUGAAACUGUAUGGCUAGAUUGCAGGAGAGGCAAGUGGAAUUCCUAGUGUAGCGGUGAAAUGCGUAGAUAUUAGGAGGAACACCAGUGGCGAAGGCGGCUUGCUGGACUGUAAAUGACGCUGAGGCUCGAAAGCGUGNGGAGCAAACAGGAUUAGAUACCCUGGNAGUCCACGCCGU